GAUGAACGCUAGCUACAGGCUUAACACAUGCAAGUCGAGGGGCAGCACAAGGUAGCAAUACUGAGGUGGCGACCGGCGCACGGGUGAGUAACACGUAUCCAACCUGCCGUUUACUCUUGGAUAGCCUUCUGAAAAGGAGAUUAAUACACGAUAGUAUCAUGAGAUCACAUGUUCACAUUAUUAAAGAAUUUGGGUAAACGAUGGGGAUGCGUUCCAUUAGAUAGUAGGCGGGGUAACGGCCCACCUAGUCUACGAUGGAUAGGGGUUCUGAGAGGAAGGUCCCCCACACUGGUACUGAGACACGGACCAGACUCCUACGGGAGGCAGCAGUGAGGAAUAUUGGUCAAUGGACGCAAGUUUGAACCAGCCAAGUAGCGUGAAGGAUGAAGGUUCUAUGGAUUGUAAACUUCUUUUAUAUGGGAAUAAAAUCAUCUACGUGUAGAUGCCUGUAUGUACCAUAUGAAUAAGGACCGGCUAACUCCGUGCCAGCCGCCGCGGUAACAC
rnacentral:rRNA from 1 species